GAUGAACGCUGGCGGCGUGCCUAAUACAUGCAAGUCGAGCGAACAGACGAGGAGCUUGCUCCUCUGACGUUAGCGGCGGACGGGUGAGUAACACGUGGAUAACCUACCUAUAAGACUGGGAUAACUUCGGGAAACCGGAGCUAAUACCGGAUAAUAUAUUGAACCGCAUGGUUCAAUAGUGAAAGACGGUUUUGCUGUCACUUAUAGAUGGAUCCGCGCCGCAUUAGCUAGUUGGUAAGGUAACGGCUUACCAAGGCAACGAUGCGUAGCCGACCUGAGAGGAGGAGUAGGCACACGGGAACGCAGACACGGGCCAGACGGACACGGGAGGGACCAAGGGGUAAGAUUGGAAAAUGGGCGAAAUCCUGAUACAGCCUGGUCAAGUGGGAGAAGAAGGUCUUCGAAUCCUAAAGCACUUUAAGUUGGGACGAAGGGAAGUAACAGAAGACAUCGACGGCCUGACGUGACCAACAGAGUAAGCACCGGCUAACUUCGUG
rnacentral:rRNA from 1 species